GCAGCCGCGGUAAUUCCAGCUCCAAUAGCGUAUAUUAAAGUUGUUGCAGUUAAAAAGCUCGUAGUUGAAUUUCGGGAUCAAUUUAUUGGUCGUGCUAUUGUACGUACUGGUAUUAUUGAUUCCUACCUUCUGACGAACCAUGAUGUCAUUAAUUUGGUGUCAUGGGGAAUCAGGACUGUUACUUUGAAAAAAUUAGAGUGUUUAAAGCAGGCUCACGCUUGAAUACAUUAGCAUGGAAUAACGAAAUAGGACGUUUGAUUCUAUUUUGUUGGUUUCUAGGAUCGACGUAAUGAUUAAUAGGGAUAGUUGGGGGCAUUAGUAUUCAAUUGUCAGAGGUGAAAUUCUUGGAUUUAUUGAAGACUAACUACUGCGAAAGCAUUUGCCAAGGAUGUUUUCAUUAAUCAAGAACGAAAGUUAGGGGAUCGAAGACGAUCAGAUACCGUCGUAGUCUUAACCAUAAACUAUGCCGACUAGGGAUCGGAUGAUGUUAAUUUUUUAAUGACUCAUUCGGCGCCUUACG
rnacentral:rRNA from 1 species